CCUACGGGAGGCAGCAGUGGGGAAUAUUGCACAAUGGGCGCAAGCCUGAUGCAGCAACGCCGCGUGCGGGAUGACGGCCUUCGGGUUGUAAACCGCCUUCAGUUCCGACGAAGCGCAAGUGACGGUAGGAACAGAAGAAGGACCGGCCAACUACGUGCCAGCAGCCGCGGUGAUACGUAGGGCCCGAGCGUUGUCCGGAAUUAUUGGGCGUAAAGGGCUUGUAGGCGGUCUGUCACGUCGGAAGUGAAAACUCAGGGCUUAACCCUGAGCCGGCUUCCGAUACGGGCAGACUAGAGGAAUGCAGGGGAGAAUGGAAUUCCUGGUGGAGCGGUGGAAUGCGCAGAUAUCAGGAGGAACACCGGUGGCGAAGGCGGUUCUCUGGGCAUUUCCUGACGCUGAGAAGCGAAAGCGUGGGGAGCAAACAGGCUUAGAUACCCUGGUAGUCCACGCCGUAAACGGUGGGCACUAGGUGUGGGGAACAUUCCACGUUCUCCGUGCCGAAGCUAACGCAUUAAGUGCCCCGCCUGGGGAGUACGGCCGCAAGGCUAAAACUCAAAGGAAUUGACGGGGGCCCGCACAAGCGGCGGAGCAUGCGGAUUAAUUCGAUGCGACGCGAAGAACCUUACCUGGGUUUGACAUAUACCGGAAAGCUGCAGAGAUGCAGCCCCCGCAAGGUCGGUAUACAGGUGGUGCAUGGCUGUCGUCAGCUCGUGUCGUGAGAUGUUGGGUUAAGUCCCGCAACGAGCGCAACCCUCGUCCUAUGUUGCCAGCGGAUGCCGGGGACUCAUAGGAGACUGCCGGGGUCAACUCGGAGGACGGUGGGGAUGACGUCAAGUCAUCAUGCCCCUUAAGUCCAGGGCUUCACGCAUGCUACAAUGGCUGGUACAAAGGGCUGCGAUACCGCAAGGUCGAGCGAAUCCCAAAAGCCAGUCUCAGUUCGGAUUGGGGUCUGCACUCGACCCCAUGAGUCGAGUCGCUAGUAAUCGCAGAUCAGCACGCGCGUGAUACGUUCCCGGG
rnacentral:rRNA from 1 species